GACGAACGCUGGCGGCGUGCUUAACACAUGCAAGUCGAACGGAAAGGCCCUGCUUUUGUGGGGUGCUCGAGUGGCGAACGGGUGAGUAACACGUGAGUAACCUGCCCUUGACUUUGGGAUAACUUCAGGAAACUGGGGCUAAUACCGGAUAGGAGCUCCUGCUGCAUGGUGGGGGUUGGAAAGUUUCGGCGGUUGGGGAUGGACUCGCGGCUUAUCAGCUUGUUGGUGGGGUAGUGGCUUACCAAGGCUUUGACGGGUAGCCGGCCUGAGAGGGUGACCGGCCAAAUUGGGACGGGGAUACGGCCCACGCCCCCUCGGGGGGGAGGAGGGGGGAAAUUGGCAAAAGGGGGGGAAGCCGGAGGCAGCAACGCCGCGGGGGGGAUGACGGCCUUGGGGUUGUAAACCGCUUUCGCCUGUGAGGAAGCGGGAGGGACGGUAAUGGUAAAAGAAGCACCGGCUAACUACGU
rnacentral:rRNA from 1 species